AUUGUAGUUAUAAUUAGAUAUGAUUUAUUACAAAAAUUUGUCCAAUGUUUUGCCCAGUUUUGCAUUGUCUUCAAUCAUUUUGUUGUUGAUUUGUAGCGAUUUAAAAGAUAUUCUAGCAGCAUGAAUACAUCCUCUGUUAUUGCAAAUAUCUUCUUAUACUUUGGUUUUCCAUGUUACUCCCUACCAACUAGCAGACACCUUUAUUCUUAAUGUACUCCAAUUUAUCAUUUUCCCUAUAGAGUUAGCCCAAUUCUUUCUCUCAUUUAAGAAAUCUUUGCAUAAUAAGGGAAAUGCAAAUCAAAACUACACUAUGAUUUUAUCUAACUCCAGUCAGAAUGGCAAUUGUCAAUAAUUCAAAUAAUAAUAAAUACUGGCAAGGAUGUGGGGGAAAGGCACACACCUACCUUGUUGGUGGGACUGCAAAUUAGUACAACCACUCUAGAAAGCAGUGUGGAGAUUCCUCAAGAAACUAGGAAUGGAACCAACAACAACAACAAAAAAGAGAGAGAGAGAGAGAGAGAGAGAGAGAGAGAGAGAGAGAGAGAGAGAAACAACAACAACAAAAGAAACUAGGAAUGGAAAACACCAUAUGGCCUAGCUACCCUACUCCUGGCUUGGUAUUUAUCUAAAAGAACUAAAAUCAGUAUAGUGCAGUGAUUUAACCAUUUUGUUAUUUAUAGCAAUACAAUUCACAAUAAUCAAAUUAUGGAAUCAGUCCAGAUGCCUGACUAUAGAUGAAUGGAUCUAUUGAAACUGUGGUGUAUAUACACAGUGGAGUUUUACUCUGCCAUAAAGAAGAAUAAAAUAAUGGCAUUUGCCAGUAAAUGGUUGGAAAUGGAGACCAUGGAUCUACGUGAAAUAUACCAGACUCAGAACAUCAAAUGUUGAAUGUUUUCUCUCCUAUGUGAAAACUAAAGCAAAAUAAGGGAAAGAAGGUAGUGGAGAGGAUCAGAUAUCAUAAACAGACAGGGAAGGUCAGUGGAGUGGAAGAAGGAGAGCAAGAGGGAAGGAGAGAGGAAGGAAAGAUGGACUGAAUUUAAAAAAUCAUGUUACACGCAUAUGUAAAUGUACCAAAGGGGAUCUUACCAUUCU
rnacentral:lncRNA from 1 species